rnacentral:rRNA from 1 species
AGUGAACGCUGGCGGUAGGCCUAACACAUGCAAGCCGAACGGCAGCACAGUAAGAGCUUGCUCUUACGGGUGGCGAGUGGCGGACGGGUGAGGAAUACAUCGGAAUCUACUUUUUCGUGGGGGAUAACGUAGGGAAACUUACGCUAAUACCGCAUACGACCUACGGGUGAAAGCAGGGGAUCUUCGGACCUUUCGCGAUUGAAUGAGCCGAUGUCGGAUUAGCUAGUUGGCGGGGUAAAGGCCCACCAAGGCGACGAUCCGCAGCUGGUCUGAGAGGAUGAUCACCCACACUGGAACUGAGACACGGUCCAGACUCCUACGGGAGGCAGCAGUGGGGAAUAUUGGACAAUGGGCGCAAGCCUGAUCCAGCCAUACCGCGUGGGUGAAGAAGGCCUUCGGGUUGUAAAGCCCUUUUGUUGGGAAAGAAAAGCAGCAGGUUGAUACCCCGCUGUUCUGACGGUACCCAAAGAAUAAGCACCGGCUAACUUCGUG